rnacentral:rRNA from 1 species
GAAAACUGUGCAAUGCGCGAAAGCGCGACACGGGAAACCUGAGUGCCUUGACAAAGUCAAGGCUUUUCUCAAGCCUAAAAAGCUUGAGGAAUAAGAGCUGGGUAAGACGGGUGCCAGCCGCCGCGGUAACACCCGCAGCUCUAGUGGUGGUCACUUUUAUUGAGCCUAAAGCGUUCGUAGCCGGUCCUGUAAAUCUCCAGAAAAAUUCUCCCGCUCAACGGGAGAUCCUCUGAAGAGACUGCAGGACUAGGGACUGGGUGAGGUUGAAUGUACUUCCAGGGUAGGGGUAAAAUCCUGUAAUCCCGGAAGGACAACCGGUGGCGAAGGCGUUCAACUAGAACAGAUCCGACGGUGAGGAACGAAGGCUAGGGGAGCAAACCGGAUUAGAUACCCGGGUAGUCCUAGCUGUAAACACUGCCCACUUGGUGUUGCCUCUUCGUUGAGGGGAGGCAGUGCCGGAGCGAAGGUGUUAAGUGGGCCGCUUGGGGAGUAUGGUCGCAAGGCUGAAACUUAA